AGCAGUAGGGAAUCUUCCGCAAUGGACGAAAGUCUGACGGAGCAACGCCGCGUGAGUGAUGAAGGCUUUCGGGUCGUAAAACUCUGUUGUUAGGGAAGAACAAGUACAAGAGUAACUGCUUGUACCUUGACGGUACCUAACCAGAAAGCCACGGCUAACUACGUGCCAGCAGCCGCGGUAAUACGUAGGUGGCAAGCGUUAUCCGGAAUUAUUGGGCGUAAAGCGCGCGCAGGCGGUUUCUUAAGUCUGAUGUGAAAGCCCACGGCUCAACCGUGGAGGGUCAUUGGAAACUGGGGAACUUGAGUGCAGAAGAGAAAAGCGGAAUUCCACGUGUAGCGGUGAAAUGCGUAGAGAUGUGGAGGAACACCAGUGGCGAAGGCGGCUUUUUGGUCUGUAACUGACGCUGAGGCGCGAAAGCGUGGGGAGCAAACAGGAUUAGAU
rnacentral:rRNA from 1 species